rnacentral:piRNA from 1 species
ACCAUGCCCCUCAUUCGCCUCAUGGA